rnacentral:rRNA from 1 species
AUUGAACGCUGGCGGCAGGCCUAACACAUGCAAGUCGAACGGUAGCACAGAGGAGCUUGCUCCUCGGGUGACGAGUGGCGGACGGGUGAGUAAUGUCUGGGGAUCUGCCCGAUAGAGGGGGAUAACCACUGGAAACGGUGGCUAAUACCGCAUAACGUCGCAAGACCAAAGAGGGGGACCUUCGGGCCUCACACCAACGGAUGUACCCAGAUGGGAUUAGCUAGUAGGUGGGGUAAUGGCUCACCUAGGCGACGAUCCCUAGCUGGUCUGAGAGGAUGACCAGCCACACUGGAACUGAGACACGGUCCAGACUCCUACGGGAGGCAGCAGUGGGGAAUAUUGCACAAUGGGCGCAAGCCUGAUGCAGCCAUGCCGCGUGUAUGAAGAAGGCCUUCGGGUUGUAAAGUACUUUCAGCGGGGAGGAAGGCGGUGGAGUUAAUAACUUCACCGAUUGACGUUACCCGCAGAAGAAGCACCGGCUAACUCCGUGCCAGCAGCCGCCGUAA